CGUAGGGUGCAAGCGUUGUCCGGAAUUAUUGGGCGUAAAGAGCUCGUAGGCGGUUCGUCGCGUCGGCUGUGAAAACCCGGAGCUCAACUCCGGGCCUGCAGUCGAUACGGGCGGACUUGAGUGUUGCAGGGGAGACUGGAAUUCCUGGUGUAGCGGUGAAAUGCGCAGAUAUCAGGAGGAACACCGGUGGCGAAGGCGGGUCUCUGGGCAACUACUGGCGCUGAGGAGCGAAAGCGUGGGGAGCGAACAGGAUUAGAUACCCUGGUAGUCCACGCCGUAAACGUUGGGCGCUAGGUGUGGGGGCCAUUCCACGGUCUCCGUGCCGCAGCUAACGCAUUAAGCGCCCCGCCUGGGGAGUACGGCCGCAAGGCUA
rnacentral:rRNA from 1 species